AGAGUUUGAUCAUGGCUCAGAUUGAACGCUGGCGGCAGGCUUAACACAUGCAAGUCGAGCGGGGAAGGGUAGCUUGCUACAUAACUUAGCGGCGGACGGGUGAGUAAUGCUUAGGAAUCUGCCUAUUAGUGGGGGACAACAUCUCGAAAGGGAUGCUAAUACCGCAUACGUCCUACGGGAGAAAGCAGGGGACCUUCGGACCUUGCGCUAAUAGAUGAGCCUAAGUCGGAUUAGCUAGUUGGUGGGGUAAAGGCCUACCAAGGCGACGAUCUGUAGCGGGUCUGAGAGGAUGAUCCGCCACACUGGGACUGAGACACGGCCCAGACUCCUACGGGAGGCAGCAGUGGGGAAUAUUGGACAAUGGGCGAAAGCCUGAUCCAGCCAUGCCGCGUGUGUGAAGAAGGCCUUUUGGUUGUAAAGCACUUUAAGCGAGGAGGAGGCUACUCUAGUUAAUACCUAGGGAUAGUGGACGUUACUCGCAGAAUAAGCACCGGCUAACUCUGUGCCAGCAGCCGCGGUAAUACAGAGGGUGCGAGCGUUAAUCGGAUUUACUGGGCGUAAAGCGUGCGUAGGCGGCUUUUUAAGUCGGAUGUGAAAUCCCUGAGCUUAACUUAGGAAUUGCAUUCGAUACUGGGAAGCUAGAGUAUGGGAGAGGAUGGUAGAAUUCCAGGUGUAGCGGUGAAAUGCGUAGAGAUCUGGAGGAAUACCGAUGGCGAAGGCAGCCAUCUGGCCUAAUACUGACACUGAGGUACGAAAGCAUGGGGAGCAAACAGGAUUAGAUACCCUGGUAGUCCAUGCCGUAAACGAUGUCUACUAGCCGUUGGGGCCUUUGAGGCUUUAGUGGCGCAGCUAACGCGAUAAGUAGACCGCCUGGGGAGUACGGUCGCAAGACUAAAACUCAAAUGAAUUGACGGGGGCCCGCACAAGCGGUGGAGCAUGUGGUUUAAUUCGAUGCAACGCGAAGAACCUUACCUGGUCUUGACAUAGUAAGAACUUUCCAGAGAUGGAUUGGUGCCUUCGGGAACUUACAUACAGGUGCUGCAUGGCUGUCGUCAGCUCGUGUCGUGAGAUGUUGGGUUAAGUCCC
rnacentral:rRNA from 1 species